rnacentral:rRNA from 1 species
UACAGGGGGUGCAAACGUUGCUCGGAAUCAUUGGGCGUAAAGCGCACGUAGGCGGUCUGUUAUGUCGGAUGUGAAAGCCCUUGGCUCAACUGAGGAAGUGCAUCCGAAACUGGCAGGCUAGAGUACUGUAGAGGCAGACGGAAUUCCGGGUGUAGCGGUGGAAUGCGUAGAGAUCCGGAGGAAGACCGGUGGCGAAGGCGGUCUGCUGGGCAGUUUCUGACACUGAGGCGCGACAGCGUGGGGAGCAAACAGG